rnacentral:piRNA from 1 species
UUCUUAGGGCAAAACACAACCCAGAGGGGAA